AUGGUGUCUCUCGCAGCUGGUCCUCGACCCGCCCCUGGGCGGUGAGAGGGGCAAGAGGGAACCCGGUGCGAGUCCGGGACUGCCCCGCAGCGGUGAGUGGGAACGACCCCCGUCAGACAGCACUGGGCGCGCGAGCGCCUGGGAAGCGACGGGCAGUAGGCGGCGCGAGCCGGGCCCACGAGUCCGAAGACCUGCCAGUCGCGCCGCAUCCGC
rnacentral:ncRNA from 2 species